rnacentral:rRNA from 1 species
GAUGAACGCUGGCGGCGUGCUUAACACAUGCAAGUCGAACGGUGAAGCAGGAGCUUGCUCCUGUGGAUCAGUGGCGAACGGGUGAGUAACACGUGAGCAAUCUGCCCUGGACUCUGGGAUAAGCGUUGGAAACGACGUCUAAUACCGGAUACGAGGCGUGGGGGCAUCCCCAACGCCUGGAAAGAACUUCGGUCCAGGAUGAGCUCGCGGCCUAUCAGGUAGUUGGUGAGGUAACGGCUCACCAAGCCGACGACGGGUAGCCGGCCUGAGAGGGUGACCGGCCACACUGGGACUGAGACACGGCCCAGACUCCUACGGGAGGCAGCAGUGGGGAAUAUUGCACAAUGGGCGCAAGCCUGAUGCAGCAACGCCGCGUGAGGGACGACGGCCUUCGGGUUGUAAACCUCUUUUAGCAGGGAAGAAGCGAAAGUGACGGUACCUGCAGAAAAAGCACCGGCUAACUACGUGCCAGCCGCCGCAGUAAAAC